UAAAAAAUAAUAUAGUUGGUAGUAUAAGGGGUUUUGAUCUCCUGAGUGCAGGUUCGAGUCCCGCUUUUUUAU
rnacentral:tRNA from 1 species